rnacentral:rRNA from 1 species
CGGCGUGGAUUAGGCAUGCAAGUCGAACGCGAAAGUCCCUUCGGGGAGCGAGUAGAGUGGCGAAAGGGUGAGUAAUGCUUGGAUGACCUGCCCUCGAGACGGGGACAACAGUUCGAAAGGACUGCUAAUACCCGAUAGUCCGGUUUAGAUGCGUCUAGAUCGGUAAAUGGUGCUUCCGCUCGAGGAGGGGUUCAAGUCCUAUCAGCUUGUUGGUGAGGUAACGGCUCACCAAGGCGAUGACGGGUAGCCGGACUGAGAGGUUGGCCGGCCACAUGGGAACUGAGACACUGUCCUGACUCCUACGGGAGGCUGCAGUCGAGAAUCUUCUGCAAUGGGCGAAAGCCUGACAGAGCGACGCCGCGUGGAGGAUGAAGGCCCUCGGGUCGUAAACUCCUGUCACAUGUUAUGAAACGCACAGGUCUACCUGUGCGCUGACAAAAGCAUGAGAGGAAGUCACGGCUAACUUCGUG